UGCCCCAUGGCUUAGUUGGUUACGGCGUCCGACUGUUAGCCAUUCGUUAGAUUUGCAGAAUAUCGGAAGAUCGAGAGUUCAAGUCUCUCUGGGGCAG
rfam:Hypholoma sublateritium FD-334 SS-4 unplaced genomic scaffold scaffold_26, whole genome shotgun sequence.